rnacentral:antisense_RNA from 1 species
UGCAAUGGCGGCUGUGCGUGGGAGACCUUCGGGUCUGCCGGAAUCCCGUAUCUCCGGUUCUCAGCCUGCGCACAGCUGCCACCCAU